rnacentral:rRNA from 1 species
UGAGUGGCGGACGGGUGAGUAACACGUGGGUAACCUGCCCUAAAGUGGGGGAUAACAUUUGGAAACAGAUGCUAAUACCGCAUAAAACCUAACACCGCAUGGUGUAGGGUUGAAAGAUGGUUUCGGCUAUCACUUUAGGAUGGACCCGCGGUGCAUUAGUUAGUUGGUGAGGUAAAGGCUCACCAAGACCGUGAUGCAUAGCCGACCUGAGAGGGUAAUCGGCCACACUGGGACUGAGACACGGCCCAGACUCCUACGGGAGGCAGCAGUAGGGAAUCUUCCACAAUGGACGAAAGUCUGAUGGAGCAACGCCGCGUGAGUGAAGAAGGUUUUCGGAUCGUAAAACUCUGUUGUUGGAGAAGAAUGUAUCUGAUAGUAACUGAUCAGGUAGUGACGGUAUCCAACCAGAAAGCCACGGCUAACUACGUGCCAGCAGCCGCGGUAAUACGUAGGUGGCAAGCGUUGUCCGGAUUUAUUGGGCGUAAAGCGAGCGCAGGCGGUUUCUUAAGUCUGAUGUGAAAGCCUUCGGCUCAACCGAAGAAGUGCAUCGGAAACUGGGAAACUUGAGUGCAGAAGAGGACAGUGGAACUCCAUGUGUAGCGGUGAAAUGCGUAGAUAUAUGGAAGAACACCAGUGGCGAAGGCGGCUGUCUGGUCUGUAACUGACGCUGAGGCUCGAAAGCAUGGGUAGCAAACAGAAGUAGAUACCCUGGUAGUCCAUGCCGUAAACGAUGAGUGCUUGGUGUCGGAGGGGUUCCGCCCUUCAGUGCCGCAGCUAACGCAUAAAGCACUCCGCCUGGGGAGUACGACCGCAAUGGUGAAAUUCAAAGGAAUUGACGGGGGCCCGCACAAGCGGUGGAGGCAUGUGGUUUAAUUCGAAGCAACGCGAGGAACCUUACCAGGUCUUGACAUCCUUUGCCCACUCUAGAGAUAGAGCUUUUCCUUCGGGGACAAAGUGACAGGUGGUGCAUGGUUGUCGUCAGCUCGUGUCGUGAGAUGUUGGGUUAAGUCCCGCAACGAGCGCAACCCUUAUUACUAGUUGCCAGCAUUUAGUUGGGCACUCUAGUGAGACUGCCGGUGACAAACCGGAGGAAGGUGGGGACGACGUCAAAUCAUCAUGCCCCUUAUGACCUGGGCUACCCCCGUGCUACAAUGGAUGGUACAACGAGU